rnacentral:rRNA from 1 species
AAAGGAAUAGACGGGGGCCCGCACAAGCGGAGGAACAUGUGGUUUAAUUCGAUGAUACGCGAGGAACCUUACCCGGGCUUGAAAUGGAGAGGAGUAGCCGUGAAAGCGGCUAGCCAGCAAUGGCCUCUUUGUAGGUGCUGCAUGGUUGUCGUCAGCUCGUGCCGUGAGGUGUCGGCUUAAGUGCCACAACGAGCGCAACCCCUGUCGUCGGUUGCCAGCGGGUAAAGCCGGGGACUUCGACGAGACUGCCACCGUAAGGUGCGAGGAAGGUGGGGAUGACGUCAAAUCAGCACGGCCCUUACGUCCGGGGCGACACACGUGUUACAAUGGGGGGUACAGAGGGCAGCGACCAUGCGAAUGGGAGCGAAUCUCGAAAGCCCCUCUCAGUUCGGAUCGGAGUCUGCAACUCGACUCCGUGAAGUUGGAUUCGCUAGUAAUCGCGCAUCAGCCAUGGCGCGGUGAAUACGUUCCCGGGCCUUGUACACACCGCCCGU